rnacentral:lncRNA from 1 species
UAUUCAAUAAAUUUAAAAAAUUAUUUUUUUAUUAAUAGAACUAAAGGAAGUAGUAUACAAAAUAGUAUACAAAUACACUUUUAGGUUUAUCAUAACAUUUGAAAAGCAAGGGAAACAUCAAUAUAAUUUAAAAGUAAAAUAUCAAGUACAAACAUCUGGCGUAAAAGUAAAGUUAUAUGCUUAGAAGUGAUAUAAUUAUUUUUAAACUUAAUCAAUCCUCGGCUAUCAUUCUAUAUUGACAAUGACGAUCAAUACACUUCAUAACUAAAGGUAAAGUCUUCUCUGGACAAUCACUGUUUUCAACACAAGGAAUGCGAAAUACACCACGAUGAAAAGCUGCAUUGUAGUGUUAAAAUGUUACUAAAAAAUAUAUGUAUUUAUAAAAAAAAAUAUUUUUUAAAUUUAUUUAUUAAAUAAUAUAUCUGGACAAAAUAUAAAUAAGAUAUAUUAGUUAUUGAAUUAAUUUAAUUUUUUAUUAUUUAUAAAUAGAACUAGAAAUAAUAUUAGAUAUGAUAUCAUGCAUAAGAUAAAUUACAAAGUUUUGAAAACAGUUUGAAAAAGAACAUACCACCAUUGGUUACGACAAAAAAUAGAGGAAAUAAUAUGAUAAGAGUACAAACAAACAUGAUAAUUUGAGCCAUAUUUUUCCUCCUUUUGCAUAUAGAUAAUAAAUAUUAACUACUUUGUGCGCUUUAUAGAAAACUUCCACUCUUUGUCAACUUCAAAUAAUAGUUUUUAGUAUUAGGACUUGUAGAAAGCCAAAUAUAAAAUUAGAAUUAAUGCUAAAGAUUCCAUAUAAAAUUUUGAUUAACGUCAAAGGUUAAUAUUUUUAUUAUUAAACUUUAUUAUAUAUGUUUUUUUAUUUAACUCUUAGCCCUUCGUAAUAGUGAGAAAGACAUGUAAAAUAGAUACAACAAUAAUAAAUAAUAAAUGAAAAAAAAGAGUUGUAUAAACAUCGAGGAUGUGAAAAAAAUACUUAUAAAUUAAAAGUACUAUAGGAUGAUUUAUCUUUAAAAAAAUUUUUUAUAUCAAAGUGUGGAAAUUGUACAAUUUGAGAUAAUUAAGUUUUAUCAUUUGCACAAAAAAAAAUAUUAUUUAAUUAGUUAUGUAUUUGUGACACGUUAAACUUUAAGUGAAAAUAUAAAAUAAAUUUCACUAGUUUUUAAAAGGUACAAUGGUUUCAAAAUAAAAUAUAACAUGUUAGUUUCAAAUAAAGGCUAUAUUUUCAUAAAAUUUUGUUUAUAAACUCAAUUAUAAUUUGUUUGAGUCAAAACAUAUGGUUUACCAUUUGAAGACAUAUGGAUUUCAAUUCAUUCACAAAGCUUAGAGACAAUUUGUUUUUUCCUUCAAAAAUCACAUGCUAAAAAUCAAUACCUGGCCAAUUGAUAAAGACGAACAUUCAAUGAAUUAUACAUUUUGAGAGAAUUGAAUUCUCACUGAAGAAUUGAUUUCAAUCGUUAAUAGUUAGAAUAGUAAAUUAAUAUAAUAUAGUGAUGAUUAAUAAAUAUAUAUAAAAGAUAUAUAAAUUAAUUAGUUUUGACAUGUGAAAAUAUAUAUUUUAAUAAAUAAAAAAAUAAAAAAAUAAAGUAAUUAUUUACUUGUGCGUUUGUAUGUGUCACAUAAUAUCGAAAUAGUAAAUAAAUAUAGUAUAGUGAUGGUUAAAAAAUUUAUAUCAAAGAUAUAUAAAUUAAGUAGUUUCGAUCCGUCAAAAAUGUAUAUUUUAAUAGAAACAAUAAAUGAAAUAAUUAAAAUUAAAUUAUGAUAUUAUUUUAAUAAAUUAUUAAAAUUAAAAUUAAAUUGUGAUUUUUAAAACCUAUCUUAUAAUAUAUAAAUAUAUAUUAAGAUGUGGGUCUGGAUUGAGUUUGGUGAAACAUUGUGUCCAUUAUCUUUAAAAUUUAAAAAUGAGAUUAAGUUUAAUUACAUAAAAAAAAUCCAUAAUUUGACCCAUAUCACAUGUUUUUAAAGAAACAGUUCACAAUUAAUAAUUUUAAAUUAUUUAUUUAGAAAUUACAAUUACCAUUUAAAACUAUUUAUUCAACUUUUUAAUAUGGUAGUCAAUUUUAAUUAACACAGAUUAAAAUAACUAUACCAAUUAUAUUUAAUUCUUAAUUUUAUUUUACUAUUUUUAUAUAACUUCAAUACUAAUUAUACAUAAUUAUAUAUCUAUGUAAAUUGUAUUUUUAAAUAAUAAUAUGGUAAUAUUUAUACUAAAACUUGCUAUAAAUAUUUGUUUUAAUAAAAAAAUAUGAGACCAUUAUGAUUUAUGAAAAACACAACUUUCUUAUAAAAAACACAAAUUUGUCAUUCUUUUUAUUCAAUUUAUUUUAUUAUAUAUUAAAUAUUUAUAAAAAAGAUUUAUAAAUUAUUCAAUUUAUUAUUAAGUAUGCAAACGAGUUUUAAAAGACUAAAAUUGAUAUAAAUAUGAAUGUCUAUAAAAUUCGUAUCUCCUUCUUCUUUAUUAUUAAUCAAUAUUAUAAAUUAUUAGUAAUUAAUUAUAAUUACUAGUAAUACUAAUCAAAAAAUUAUUAUUAUGUUGCUUCAAUACUAAAAUUAACUAUUAAUAUUAUAUAUUUUAUAAUGUAUCCUUUUAUAAUUAAUUUGAUUUAUCCUUCAAUAAUAUAUUAUUUUAUAAUUUCUCCUUCAAUAAUUGAUUUAUUAUUCAAUAUAUGUUUUUGUUUACUUAAAAACAUAUAAUUUUUUUUCAAUAAUUAAUUUAUUCUUCAUUAAUAUAUUAUUUUAUAAAUUUUCAUUUAUUAAUGAUUAUUUUUAAUUAUUAAUAAUACUCAUAAAGAAAUAACUGAUCCCAUAAUUUCUAUUAAGAUAAUUUCUCAUAUAUAAUUUCUGUUAACAUAAUACUUCUGUAAUUUCUGACAAUACACUAACAUCUUUUAAAUUAAAUUAAUAUUUUUACCACAUUCAUAAUUUAAAAAUACUUUUUCAUUUUUAAAUUUUUUUUUUUAUCUAAUUAUUAAACAUCACCAUAUUAUAUUUAUUUACUAUUUAUAACAACAUUGCGCGACACGUGCGAACCCACGAGUAGAUUAGUACUUAAUUAUUUCAUUUAUUAUUUCUACUAAAAUAUACAUUUCCGACGGGGCGAGACUACUUAUUUUAUAUGUCUUUUAUAUAAAUUUCUUAAUCAUCACUAGACUAUAUUUAUUUACUAUUUAUAACGACAUUGUGCGACUCGUGCGAACGCACAGGUAGAUGACUACUUUAUUAUUUCAUUUACUUUUUCUACUAAAAUAUACAUUUUCGAUGGACCAAAACUACUUAAUUUGUAUAUCUUUUAUAUACAUUUCUUAACCAUCACUAUACUAUAUUUAUUUACUCCCUCCGUUUCUUUUUAAGUGUCGUUUUAGAAGAUUUUUUUUGUUCCUAUUUAAGUGUCGUUUUGAUGUUUUAAUGUUACAAUUUGUCAAUUAUACCCUUACUAUUUAAAUAACUCAACUUGUAUAUUUUCCAUAAAUUUUUCUUUCUUAAUAUAUGUAAUAACUCACUCCACAUUUUCCAUAAAAUUCUCUUUCUUAAUACGUACUCUCAUUCCCAUACAUAACUCCCAUUCCUUUCAAAGUAUUGGCUGGUCAAUAAAAAUGCAAUAAGUUUUCCUUUAGCCAUUAAUGAAAAUGCAAGCAGUACGUAUUCCUAUAGCAAGCAAUAUUAAUUCCAAAAAUUUAGGAGUAGUUGAAAAAUGCAACGGAAGAGAGAGAGAGUUAUGUGGAGAAAAUUAUGGAAUUAGUUAUUUGAAGUAAAUAAUUUAAUGAGUACUUAUAUUAAUGAAUUUUAUUUAGGAAAGAGAAAGUAUAUGGUGGAUUAAAAUGAGGGUACAAUGGGAAAAAAAUUAUAACAAUUCAUUUAUCUUGGUUGGAGAGCUUUAUGCUAAAACGACACUUAAAAAGAAACGGAGGGAGUAUUAUUUAAAACGACAUUUCACGAUCCGUUCGCACAGGUAGAUGACUACUUAAUUAUUUCAUUUUUUUUUACUAAAAUAUACAUUUCUGACGGGCUGAGACUACUUAGUUUGUAUAUAUUUUAUAUACAUUUCUUAUCCAUCUCCAAAUUAUAUUUAUUUACUAUUUAUAACGACAUCGCGCGACCCGUGUGAACGCACGAGUAGAUGACUACUUAAUUGUUUCAUUUAUUUUUUCUGCUAAAAUGUAUACUUCUGACGGACUGAGACUACUUAAUUUGUAUAUCUUUGAUAUAAAUUUCUUAACCAUCACUAUACUAUAUUUAUUUACUAUUUAUAACGACAUUGUGCGACCCGUGCGAACGUACGAGUAAAUGACUACUUUAUUUUUUUAUUUAUUUUUUCUACUAAAAUAUACAUUUCCGAUGGGCUAAAACUACUUAACUUGUAUAUCUUUUGUAUACAUUUUUAACCAUCACUAUAUUAUAUGUAUUUAUUAUUUAUAAUGACAUUGCGCGACCCGUGCAAACGCCUGAGUAGUAACUAAUUCAUAUAAAUUUUAUAUACAGUUUUUAAAAUUCAUUAUAUUAUAUUAAUUAACUAUUCUAACAACUUCCAAAAAAUAAACGACAUUGUGUGACCCGUGCAAUCGUUAAUUGUUAUAUAUUUGGGACUUUGUUUAUAUACAAUGCAAAGCUCACACAAACUCAUAACCAUUCCUACAUCAUAGAUAACAAUUUGUUUUCUACCUAAGGUGAAUGUUUGAUCCUUCAAGUUUUACUUCCCACAACUGAUAACCUUUUUUUACCCCAUGAAUAUCAAUUGAAGACACCAUUCGCAACCUUACUAUCAAGUUAGAUAAGUUUGACUUGAGCAAUAGGCAAAAAUUUGUCGACUUUCAAAAUAAAGUAGGUUACAAUUUUCAUAGUCCAAACCUCCAUAAGUAAUUGGAAAUUUAUUCCCGUAAAUAAACAUCUACCAAUAAGGUAUGCUACUUUGACACUUGCCUUACCACAAAAACACAAUGACAACUCACUGGUCAAAUACGUAUUUAUCAAGUGUCUUCUACAAAAUUCAUUAAAGUGAUAUGAAACAACAUCCAUAAUCUACCAUGCAUUGAACUUAAAUCUCAUAGCUUGUUCUUGUCAAUAAAGUCUUCAUUAGCUGAUGAAUGAACAAUAAAAUUGGAAUCUUCUAAAAUAUAUAACCCACAUAGCUUAGAUCAUUUACCCAUGACAUUCCACCAUGCAAAAUCUAUAAGACCCUAAGACCCCAUGUUUAAUUCUAAUGCAGUAUCCGAGAUCAUCAAACAUGCUUUGGAAUAAAAAGUAUUUUCUGAGCUAUAGAACAUACCUCACAUUAUACAAAAAACACUUAUGAUUAUUGAACAUUUUAAGUCUGAGCGUACCGACACCAUUUACCUUGCAAGCCUCAUUGUCAUUAAGGUGAACCACUCCACCUUCUUCCAUAUUCAAAGUCUCUAAGUAUUCUUUUUUUAGACACAUGUGAUAAAAAAAAUAUGAGUCCAUGACCGAAAUCUCUUUAGUUUCCAAACUCGACACCACUAGUGCAUCGACACUAUCAUAACUAUCCUAAUUCGAGGAAACAACAAUUUGAACAUGACUUUCAUUUUCUUUCCUCUUGGGACAAUCCUUCAUAAAGUGAUCGAGUUUGUCAAAAAUAAAUUUUUUUCUUAACUUGUUAAACCUCUUGGAUUUUACAUCCCUCUACACUCACUUACUCAUAUUUACAAACUUAAGCAGUCACCACUAUCAUUAUUCUUCAAAUAUUUAUGCUUUGACAAUUCUUUGGAUAUCACUUCCACCACGACUUCAUCAAAAGUAAUAACACAUUUCUUAUCAUAAAUAAGAGAGUAUUUGAAUUUCUCAAAGGAUCUAGAUAAUGAGCUUAUAAGAGUAUAGUCUCUUCCUCAUCAUCAAUCUUCACCAUAUUAUUAGCUAAAUCAUCAUUGAGCUUGUGGAAUUCUUCCAACUGCUCCACUGUAGAUUUGUUCACUAUCAUUUAGAAUGAAUAUAGUUUUUUUUCAAACACAACUUAUGAGGCAAAAAUUUGGUCAUAUACAAUGAUUCAUAUUUUCCCCAUAUCGAAACAAUAGUUUUCUCCCUGGGGACUUCCCUUAAAACUUUAUCCCAGAGACACAAUAUAAUGACACUCCCGAUCUUAUUCACCACUCGAUCUUCUAUACUUAUGUUAGGCGUUCAGAAACCAACACCCAAUGCUUCAAUGCAUCAUGAUAACAAUCCUUCAUCAUGUAAUUUUAUUAACAGUUUCAAAUGAUUUUAAUAGUAGUUAGUGAAGAAAGAAUUGAUUUUUGAUGAAAAUUUACAAUAUGUGAAGAAAAUACUUAAGCUAUCAAAAGUAAAAGAAAAGAGGAGUUUUGAAAAGUUUAAUAAUCCUUGAAGGUUCUGGAAAAGUCGUGCGACAAUGCAAACCAAUCGUGAUACAAUUCUAGAAAAUUAGUGCAAAUCGUGAUACGAUCAAAAGGAAUUAAAACACGAUGACUGACACACGCAAGCCUCUUGAAAUAGCAAAAUUUCAUAUUUGUUUGGGGGAUGGACUUUUUGGAGGUCAAAAUUAGUGCAAGAGAAGUGCAAGGGGUCAGAUUGAAGUUUUUCCUCCAUUGAAGACCAACUCUCUUCUCAUAUUUCAUGUACUAUUAUUCUAAACUUAUAAAAUAGAACCAAGUAAUUCAUUGAGUACUCUUUUAUUAAUUUUAGAUUUUAGUAUUAUUUAGUUAACUUUGAUCGUAAUAUAUUUUGUAUGUCGGCGAAUAUAUGAAAUGAACUUAGGUUUUAGUUGAUUACUGAUCAUAACUCUUAAAAUCUGACAUAAGUUCAUUGUUUAGAAUUAGUAAUUGUUUUGGUAAUAGAGAAAUAUUGUUCUAUGAUUUAGGGAUUAACACAAUUUAUAACUUGUUUUGAUUUCAAAUUCACAUGAGGAAUUAAGGUAUUUUUUUUAUAUAAAAAGAGAACAUUAUACACCAAAAACCGAGUAUGACGAAUAAGUUAAUUCAUCGUAAUGCUAGAAAAUCAUUUUAAAAAAAUUAACGUAAUUACCAAGCAUUAUUGAUAGUUAACCGAUUCCAAAAAGACAUAAUCACUUUUAUUUAUGAUAUAUUUUUUUAACAAUUUAUUUACUUUUAUGUUCUAAAAACAAACUUGUCAUGAUAAAUCUUCCAGUUUAAUAAUUUUAGUAUUUUUGAAUUGUGGUGUUGAAAUUCCACAAUCCAUGUGGAUACAUACACUUUUUUUAAAUAUGACAACUUGACAACAUCUUAGUUCACUUGGUAAUUUCGACAAGACAAUUAUUUUAUGCUUCAGUUUUAAUUUUAUUUUUAAUUGUUUGUUUUUCUUUUUAAUUUUUUAUUUCAUUUAGUUUUAAUUUAUAGUAUUAGUUUUGUGUUGAAUAGUGCUCUAAGGUAUUUCUAUAUUUUAUUUUAUAUGUAGGGUGACAACUCUCAAGGAUUACCAUUUGAUUCUGAGACAAAAAAAACAACAAGAGAAAUUAGAAAAGUUAAUUGAUUAACAUGUGUAGAAGAAUAGGCUCAGAAAGAAGAAAUACCAACAUCACCGUCUGAUAACACGACUGAUCAAGAAGCAGUAGCUAUGGAAAAUCCACCACCUAGGCGGACUAUGAGAGACUAUUGGAGGAGGACUAAGAAUUUUAUCUUUGGGUUCCAACCAAAACAACAUGUAGCAUUUGAUAUAAAGAGUAAAAUUCUAACAACUUCGAGGGAUAAUCUUUUUGAUGGUAACAUGAUCAGAGAUCCAUGGGAGCAUCUUUCCCGUUUCUAUGAGACUUGUUCGAUGUGAAAAUUAAAAAUGCGUAACUGAUAGACAAAUAAAAUUAAGUCUGUUUGGAUUUUCUUUGAUUGGAGGAGUUAAAGAUUAGUUACAAUGUUUACCCAAUGGGAUAAUCCAAGCUUUGAAAGAGCUAUAAGACAGAUUCUUGGUGUGGUUAUUUACUAAUUCCAAAUUCGUGGAGAGAAUGGCUGAAAUUUCUAGUUUUGAGCUAGUAAAUCAAAAUCUCUUUAUGACGCUUGGGAGAGAUUCAAGUUAUUGUUAAGGAAAUGUCCCAAUCAUAAUAUGGAUAACAUAGAGCAAAUGCAACAUUUCACACGGGGAUUGAGAGUUCAAACUAGAAUUCUUCUCGAUGCUUCAUUUGGAAGAACUAUAAAGAACAAUAAUUAGGACAAAGUGAAAGAGAUGAUUGUUCAAACUAGAAUUCUUCUCGAUGCUUCAUUUGGAAGAACUAUAAAGAACAAUAAUUAGGACAAAGUGAAAGAGAUGAUCGAGAAUAUGUGUCAGAACGAGUACCAUACUAGUGAAAGGGCUCCAGUAAAGAAAGGAAUGAUAAAGUUUGAUAUGCACACUUCAUUUUUAGGGGAAAUUGAAGCUUUAUCAAAACAAGUGACGAUCAAUGCUCUAUCUCACACAAAUCAAACAAUUGUAAGCCAAGUACAUGUAUUGAGAUGUGAGUUUUGUGGGGAAAGACAUGCAAUUGGUAAAUGUGUACUAAAAUAAUACACUCAAGAGGGAAAUUAUGCCGAUAAUUUUCAAAAACCUAACCCCUACUCUAACACUUAUAAUACAAGGUUAAAAGACGAUCCUAAUUUUAAGUGAAGUAAUAAUCAGAGUCCAGUGGUAAAUCCAUGAGUUGAAAAAAAAUAUUCAACCAAGGAAACCACCCCCUUGGAAGAAACCAUGCGCCCGUUUAUUAAGAUGAAUCUAACCAAAUUUGAGACAAUAAGCAAGAAUAAAUAAGCCAUGAGUAACAAACCAUGAGGCAUCUUUCAAUAAUUUGGAAACACAAAUUGGACAGGUUUCUAAACAACUAGUAGCACAAUUCAGUGGAGGGUUCAAUGGCAAUAUGUUGGACAAUCCCUAAAAUGAGAUUUGUAAGGCCAUUGAGUUAAUAAACUAGCCCUAGGAGUGAGGAGAAUUCAUAAGUAGUUGAUGAGAGAGAAUUAGAAAAUAGAAAAAUAAAAAAUAGAGGGAGAAAAAAAUGAGAAAUUAGAGGAAUCUAUCGUAAGAGGAGACACGCUCGACAAACUUAUUGAUAUAAAUUCACCCUUGAGAAGAACCAAGAAGCAAAUUUUAAAUGAGCAAAAUCCUGAAAUCCUUUAUUAUGUCAAGCCACCUUUUAUCAUGGGCUGAGCUCAUGAACCUUAAAACCUUGGUUUUACCUCAGGCUAACCAAUAAUAUGAGAGAUUUUAACACAGGGUUAAGCUUUAACCUAACCUUGGUUUUACCACAGGCUGACUAAGAACCAAUUGAAAGCUUUUAUCAUGGGCUAAGCCUUCGAACUUAAAUAAAGGUUUAUUCAAACAAUCCCCAAACCAAAGCUUCUAUGAGUUUAACUUCUAACCAAAAUAAAUAAUUACUCAAUGAAUAAUAUUCAACUAGUUGUAAAUAAAAUUCCCUCGAUGAAUUUUACAAUUCUAACCUUCCAGAAUUACAACUCCUCUCUUGCAAAAAGGACUUUCUCGAAAAUCAAUUUGUUUGAAAACUUAGUGAGAUAAAGUAAAAGAAAAUUGAUGAGAGAGAGAGGAGAGAGAGAGAAGAGAGGAAGAGAAGAGAGAGAGAGAGAGAGAGAGAGAGAGAGAGAGAGAGAGAGAGAGAGAGAGAGAAUGAAAUCUGAUUCUGGAUGAUUUGAUAUGAGGGAAGGACAUCUAUUUAUAGGCUAGGUUGAAUCAAAAAGGAAAUGAUUUUAAUGCAUUUUAAGACUUUCUUAUUGAUUAACACCUAAUGCCAAUCGAUUAGAUACCUAAAAAAUAAUCGUUUAUAAGUUCAAAAAAAUGAAAGAAAAUAUAUUUAUUCGUUGUACAUCAUUAAGGUGUUGUCCUAAUAGUUUAUUACUCAAUUUUGAACUGAGAGCAAUCGAUUAGGCUUAAUGCUGCCCAUCGAUUAGCAAAGACAAAACUUUGCCCAUAACUUAUUAUGAUAGUUCCUAACUCAUAUGGCACGACUUCAAGGUUUUUUCAAAAUGUUUUCUUGAGAAAAUAAGUUUGAAAAUAAGUUUAUGUGUGUGUGUAUGAUUUAUCCCUGUACUUUUAUGACAAUACCCUUAUGCUUUUCAAAGUGUUCUCUCAGUUUAACUAAGGUAGUGCUUUCAUUGGCUUCAAGACUUGUCAGACAUUCCUUUCUUGUAGACACUUUAUUGAGUUCUCUUGAGAUAAGACUUUGAGUUAAGUUCAAUUUAAUUUCCAUCAUCAGAUUAGUCAAGUCCAUCAAACCCUUAAUACUUGGGUUUACAUCUUGAACCGCUUACUCGCUUAUGCCUGACUUAUCAUCAGUUGUCAUUAUUCAGACAAUAAUUGUCAUCAUUAAAAGUUGCACUUCUUAUUAAAGCAUAUCACCUACAAAACAAGGUUCCACAUUCUCCCCCAUCUUGAUGAUGACAAUAUAUCUCUCAGGGGAGGUGGUAACAGAAAAUAACACAUAUGUGUUUGGAGUAAUUAAAUUCCCCCUAAGUUAAAUAGAGAGUAUACUCUACUCCCCCCAGAGAGUGUACUUCUCCCCAUUUUUUGAAAUCAAAAGGAGGGUAAAUAUGCAAUGCGGAAGAUAAAUAUGCAAACAUAGACACGUAAAACAUUUAAAGGAAGCAAACUAUUAUUUUAUUCAUUAAAACUGGGAAUUUGAAGUACAAAUAGGUAAAUAAGAAAAAAAAAAUAGAAGUAAAAAACAUAGGCAACUGAGAAACACUUAGUUCAUCUCAUCAUCAUCAACAUCCUUGCUUGAAACCAUAGGGGAGAUGGGGUUUCUUUUCUCCAUUCUUCUGAAGAGCUUGUCAAUAUUUGCAUUCAUUUCCUUUUUCUCAUCUUGGAUGUCAAUGAGGGUGUUUGAGGAAGAUGGAGGAAGGUUGUUGUUUCUUUGCUGUCUUACUCUUCUUGGUGGUUGUGGGACUAGUUUCCCUUCUUGAAUAGAAAAUCCCAUUUUUCUUAUAACUUUCUUCCCUAUCUUUGUGUGAACUAAAUCCGGUUCUUCUUCUCUGAACUCAUAGCCAAUGUAGGUUAGGAUUUUGGUGUUUAGUUCGGCAUAAGGUAAGGUAAUGUUUUUCCUUUUGCUGUCUAGCAUGUGGUGAAGUACGACAUUUGCCCAACUUUUCACAACUAGGCUUUCCAAAAACUAAAUUGCAUGGACAUCUUGUUUUUUGAUGGUGCAAUAGUUACUUUUCCAUGGUAAAAGCACAUGAUUCAUGGUGUAGUGAAUCAAUCUACUAUUUGGGCAAAUGAGGCCGACAUUGAAAGGAGAAGGAAUCCUAUAAGUGGGAUCAGCGAGGAGAGAUUGGAAAUGAGUGUCGAAAUUAAGUUCCUUACCUUCAUGAUUCAUUUCAUCAUAAUCUUGUUCCAUGAGCGGUAGAUUGCAAACUUGAGCAAAGUCUUAAAGAGACAUGGUGAUGGGGUGUUUCUUGACUUCGAAAUUGAUGAUGCCAUCUUUGUAGGAGAGAUUAAUGUAUAAUACUCUCACUAAUUCAAGGUACCUCUCUUGAUGUUUUUCAAACACGGAGUUCCUCAAGCCGAAAAAGUUUAAUGCUUCCAUGAAGGAGCAGUUCUUGAAUACUUCGCCAUAUAGGUAGUGAGACACAUAUAGUUCUAUAUCAGUGUAGAAUAUAUUGAAGUUGUUUUCUUGAGCUUGGGAGGAGAUGUCUUCUGAUAAGUAUGAGGAUGAAGGUUUAGAGGAACAAGUUCUUUUUUAGGACAGUUAGGUGAUGAUGGAUGAUUGAGAUAUCUAAUGUGUUUCUAAUGCAAUGCCCAAGUGAUUAAAUGAUGAGAUGAGAAGAAUGUGAAAGUUACCUAUAUAUAUAUAGCUUCUACUUAAUCGAUUGGAAAAUGUGCCAAUCGAUUGGAAACAAUAAAAUUUGAGAUCUAGCUGUUGCAUGGAGUCGUUGUAUUAACGACUCACCCAACUAGUCAUUGUGGUGAGCUCCAAUGUUAACAUUUCUUAAAUUUCUCAUGAUCUAAUCGAUUGGAUGCUAGUUCCAUUUGAUUGUUUUAGCCCAUUUCAACGUAUAUUAUUUUGGGCUCUGUGUGUUGCACCCUAACUUGCCCUUAUUUGCACCUCCUUUAAAAACACUCAUCUUUUUUGGUUAGAAUAAUAUUUAAUUGAGACGAGCAAAAUUUUAAAUUCAUUAUUUUAAGGGUUUAAUUAGAGUUUUAUGAUUAUUUCAUCCUUAAAUAAUGUAUACCUCUUCUAUCAAUAAAUCUUGAUAAAUACUUCCCUUAGAGGGAAACACCUAUCAAAUGAUGAUGUAUCCUUCUUUACACAUCGUUGGAUGCAAAAUUUGGUAUGAAAAGCAUAAUGAACAAGUCCACUACAAACAUGUCCAUUCACUCAUCUUUUUUGGUUAGAAUAAUAUUUAAUUAAGAUGAGUAAAAAUUUAAAUUCAUUAUUUUAAGGGUUUAAUUAGAGUUUUCUGAUUAUUUCAUCCUUAAAUAAAAUAUACCUCUUUUAUCAAGAAAUCUUGAUAAAUACUUCCCUUAGACGGAAACACCAAUCAAAUUAUGGUGAAUCAUUCUUUACACAUUGUUGGAUGUGAAAUUUGGUAUAGAAAUAAGAAUGAACAAGUCCACUACAAACAUGUCCAUUCAAUUGAUCACUAUGGAUCAUAAACUUUGAGAUAUUCUCUAACACUUUGCUUUGAUCGCAACUAUUGAUAUUUUCCAUCAUCGUUCAUUCUUGAAUAUGAGACUUCAUCAAUAUUGUAUACUUAGAAGUGUACUCUUACUUUGCACAACACCAUUGAUAUUCUCUUAAAGCUUCAGGAUGCAAAGCAUACCUGCAAAACACUAAGGUUUCACCUUUGGUGCCUACAUCUUCUUAGGCCCAUGUGAGUUAGUUCCAGAAGAUCUAGGGUUUUUACCUUAAGAUCUUUUCAAUUUAUCAAAAUUGAAAGGUUCCAAAUGACCAAAUCUUUUAUAGUGUGUGCAUUUAUAAAUUGGACGCUUCUUUUAUAUACCUUUACUAGGUUUUCUAUCCUUUUUAAAUCCUAGUCCAUUUUUGUUUAUGGAAGAUUUUUGACUUGAUAAGAUUAAGCCAAGCUUUUCUUUUCCUUGUGUAAACUUUCCAAGGGUUUCAUGUAAAUAAGUUACUUCCUUUAUAAGGGAGUCACAAAGUUUACAUUCUUCUAUUGAGUUCCUAACCUUAUUUAUUUCUAUUUUGAAUGACUCAUUGAUGUCUUUAAGAUAUCUUAAUGAUUCUUUAAGAUCUAGGAAUUUUAUCUAGUUUACAUGCUCUUAGUUUAUCAUUUUCUUCCACUAGUUGACUACUCAUUCUAAACAGUUGUGCAUAAGAUGGCUUAACACUUGGAAUAUUAUCUACCUUGUAGGAUGUCUUUAAGCAUACUUCAUCUUCUUCUUUGGGAGACUAUUGUUUAAUCUUUCUCCCCAAGGUUGAUGUCUCUCCUCCUUUUCUUUGUUCAAGUAUUGAAGACAUUUCUUCUUCUUUAUCAUUUUUUGAGCAUGAGGUUCCUUCGUUUGAUGUUGAAUCUUCUGAGGAUCGCUCAACCACUGAGUACAUUCUUUCGAAAGAAAGUUCUACAAGAGUUGUGUGAUAGGAAAUUAAAAGUUGUUGAUUCUUUGAUUUUUACUUGUUCAUCUUUGAGUAGUUGAACUAGUUAGUUCAAUUUCUCUAUAAUUUCCUUCUUUCUUGAUUUUUUUCCUGAAAUUCGUGAAGGCUCACAUCUUUUAAUUUAAGAAUUGGAUUGGACUUCCAAUUUUUAAUUCUUAGACAUUGGUUAGUUAUAAACGUUCUAAUACAACUUCCAAUAUUUAUAAGUUUUGAAAAAAAUUAAGAGUAGUAUCUUCAUCUUCUUCGCCUUGUUUAUUCAUCUCCUCUUUCUCAAUAAUUGGAGAAACCACAUAUAUCAUUUUAAGAGUAUCCUACAUUUCCUUGGCAAUUUGACAAUGAUAAACAUAGUAAAAUUGAAUAUCAUCUAGAUACAUUGUUAUAAAUCUCUUAGUUUUUAAAUCUAUCUCAAACUUUCUCUUUUCCUCUUUGGUCCAUAGGGAAUCAGGUUUAUCUACUACUUUUCCAUUUAUUUGGUCAUUAGGGAUAAACACACCAUUGAUUAUUGUUUUCCUCAAUUCAUGAUUUAUACUUUGAAGAAAAAUUUUAAACCUAGAUUUCCAAAUAUUAAAUCUACUAUCAAUGAAAAGUGGUGGUGUAUUUAGAAAAUAAUUCUCGUCGGAAGUCAUCUUCCUCUUGAGAUGAUUAGUCCUUAAAUAAAAGUUAGGCUCUGAUGCCACUUGUUGGACAUGUGAUUCACACACAAGAGAAUGGGGGAUUGUAUGGUUCCGAAAAACAUGGUUUUGAAAAACUUUAUGGAUUAAAAUAAGAGUUGAAAUUCAUUUGAAAAAUGUUUUAGAAAUUAAGCAGCGGAGAACAAAUUAACAUAAUAUAAAGUGCGGAAAAUCAAGAGUUGGGGGAAAGAGAAAACCCCAAGAUUUAUAUAUGUUCUAUCAAACAAGAAAAAGACCUACUCUUCUCCCCAAAAAUUGAUCUUGAGAGUAUUCAAUAAACUUGAGAGUUUUUAAUAGGUUAUACUCGCGAACCCUCCUUAUACAAGGAAAACUAAAUUUUAAGGUUGACUUCCAACCAAAUAGUAAACAUUAGGGUGAAGUGAUUAGUCAUCCCUGCAAACAGAGGAUCAAAGUGAUUAGUCUCCUUUCCACAAGAAUUUUGGAGCGGUUAGUCUUUAAGAUUCUAAACAAACUUUGCAAGCUUUUAUCACGGUUUGAGCUCUAUUGAGUGUGAAUAUAAAAGUAGAAAAAUGGUCUAAAGGGGGAUGAACAAAGCCAAAUAAAAAAAUGCAACUUCUUGUUUUCCAAAAUCACAGUGUUUUAAAAAAUAAGUUGCGAGCGGAAGGUUUGAAACGAAAAUGAAAAUUAUACAAUUAAUUAUGAUUAAGAAAACACACAGUUCAUUUCACAAACAUCCAAGAUUAUAAACAAUGAAACUUUUGGCAUGAGUUGAUUCAAGUUGUGUAGUCACAAGAAGUAUACACAAUUGAUUCUACGUGGAUUCCUAAAUUCAAUUUGUUUUUAGAUUUAUCAAUCACAAUACUAGCUUGACUAGUUGUCAAAUUCCAACAAAACCUAAGCUUUACAUAAGUUAUCGCUAUCAAGAGUAAAACGAUAUAGUACGAAGGAGUUAAAAAACCUAGAAUGCAAUCACUAUGAAUAUAAAUGCAAGAGUAUAAUUUGAGAGAUGACACUGAGAUUUAUAGUGCUUCAGCGUUCGUCCUCACUUGGCCCAUGUGCACUCUUCAGUGGCUUCCCAUUGGAACCUGCAUAGUUCCUUGUUAUUUGACAAAUAUUUCUAAGAGUUCAUACAAUCACCAGUCUACAAUUUAUAGUUGAGAAGAUAAAUCUCUUAAUAUGGAUCUUGACUUGUAUCUAGCAAACUUGUCAAACUCUUAUACGUAACGUUUAUUUGAGUAUGUUUAUUGAACCUUCCAAUAACACCAAAUUUGUUCCAAGCCUUCUUGUGUAGCUAUCAACCCCUUGAUCCUACCGAUUCCUUGAGAGGUGAUAUGGUCUGAAGAUCUGAGAAGAACUCCACCUUAUUUGUCGCCUUCCAUUCAGUUACUACUAAGGCAAUGUUGGAGAGAAGAACCUACUUCUCUUCAAUGGAAUUUGUCACCACCAUUGACAAUCCAUAUUUCUUGCUAACAACCUGAAAACUUAAUAAGAUCUCCAAGAACAGUUAGUUUUAAGUACGCGCCUCCUUCAAUCAAUCUCAAAACUCUAAUUAUCAAGAUAUGAACUCAAUUGAAGUUGAAGAUGUGAGAAAUUUGUAAAUAGACUUUGAACAGUUAAAACAGAGGAAAGUGAUUUUCACACAAAAGCACACUGAAAAAUCUUAACAGAAUGAUGUAUGUUAUGUUUGAAUGCUGACAUAAAAUAAUUUAUACAUGCUUGAGAUGAAGCAUAUAAAAUGGUUGAACAAAGGUGGUUAUAUUCGAAUCAAGAAAAAUAUGAUUUGAAUCAAAUGAGCAAAAAUGAAGUGAAAUGAAAGAAAUACCCAAAAUUUGAAAAAUAUGUCAGUUAAUUCAGAUCAGGGAAUACAUGAUUGAACACAAGCCUUCUAAUUCGAAUCAAGAACAAAAAGUGAUUCGAGUAAAAUGGCCCAGAACUGACAGAAUUUUAAGGAAAAAUAAUUUGAUUCGGAUCAUGUUGAAAGUUUGAUUCGAAUCAAAUCAAACAGAACCAACCAUGAUUUGUGAAAAAUGAAAUUGAUUUGGAUCAUGUACAAGUUCUGAUUCGAAUCAAAUCAGGCAAAGUCUGUUCCCGAUAAAAUGACCAGGAUCAAGUGAAAAAUAUGAUCAAGAAUAAAUUACUGAGUUGAGUUACUGUCCAAUUCGAUCAGAAUCACGAAUUCAAUGUAAAACUGUAUGAUUCAAAUCAAUCUUGUAAAAUCUUAAAUUUUCAAGUUUUAAAAGCUUUUUGAGAUUUUACCUUGAACAUUUUUUUUUUCAAAAACACAAGGGGAGUCAAUUCACUAUCAUAUGCUAUUGAUCAAAGAGAAAUUAGAUCAAUAUCAAAUCUAACCAAAUUUUUAUGCAUGCUAAACAUGAGAAAUGAAAUCACGAAGGAGACUCAAUGAAUCGAAAUAAAGACAUAGAUGAAAGCGUUAAGACAAGUAACAAAGUAAUCGGAUAAUAGAGACAUGAAACUACAAUCUCCCUCUUUUUGAUGUUUGUCAAGCUUUUACAAACAUUGAGUCGACCUUUGAGUACACGUGUAACUUCCCCUGAAACAUUGCACACAAAUAACUCACAUCAUAAAAACACAUAAGACAAUUAUAGACUCAUUACAACUUCUCCCCCUUUGGCAACAUCAAAAAGAGAUAGUUUGAAAUGCGUCUAAAACUAAGGAUAAACAACUAGAAACAUAUAGUUCCAAAGAACCAAUGAGCUAAACAACUAAAAAGUAUAUACAACAAUCAUGAUCACAUAUUCAACAAAGAUAAACUUGUCACAAGCAACAUAACGUAAAUAUACAUGCAACACAAAUGUUCAACAAAUACCAAUUAAGUGAUCAAACUUGUAAAUCAAGGUGUGCAUUAACAAUCACAAAAAACGCAUGAAUAAGUAGUCAAAAGUUCUAAUGCACAUAAUUAGCAAUGCGCAUUUAAAAGACUUAAAUGAGUGUAUGAACAAUCAAAUACAUAAGCUAGAGAUGGAUUAGUGAGAUAUGGAGGAAAUAAGCAAACAAAUGCAUAACUCUAGCACAAAACACAUAGAAUGAUGCAAAGGUUAGAAACAUACAAUUCUAAGUUGGUAGAAGCUACAAUUUGCUAUAAAAAAGUGUUAGUGCAAUCAAAAUAUACAACAAAUGAAACAAAAAACCAAAACCACAUUCUACUUAAGGCAAGAUGAUUCUAACACUCCUAAUUCCCUACAGAUUUUGUGGAAGGAUUCCAAAGACAACGGUUUUGUAAAAAAGUCAGCAAGCUAACUUUUGGUGUCAACGUACUAAAAAAUAACAUAUCAUUUCUCCACACGAUCUCUCAGGAAAUGGUGUCGGAUCUCAAUGUGUUUAGUUAGUAAGUGUAGUAUUGUAUUCUUAGUAAGACUUAUAGCACUAGUGCUAUCGCACUUAAUUGGAUCGCAACCAAGUUUUAAAUUAUAGUUCAAUGGUUGUUGUUUAAGCCAUAAGACUUGUGCACAACAACUACCAGAUGCUACAUAUUCAACCUCAAUGGUAAAAAGAGCAACACUAUGUUGUUUCUAACUAUGGCAAGAAACUAAGCAACUUCCAAAUAAGUGGCAACUACCACUAGUACUCUUUCUAUUCGACUUGCACCCUUGAAAUCAGAAUCAGAAUAUCCUCAUAUGAUACAAGCACUUCCCUUGGGAUACCAAAGAUCGUGAUUGGAGGUUCUGCUAAGAUACCUCAAAAUAAGUUUUACGAUCUUAAAGUGGGAAUACUUAGGUGAUAUUUGAUAUCUAGUACACAUGCACACACUAAACAUGAUAUCAGGCUUACUUAUGGUUAAAUAGAGUAAGGAUUCAAUUAUACCUCGAUACCUAGUUAUUUCGAAAUCCACUCCUCUUUCAUCUUUGUCUAUGAGCAAAUUUGAAGCCAUUAGAGUUGAGAUAAUCUUUGAAUCUUUCAUCUCGAACUUUUUUAGAAGAUCUAGACAAUACUUUAUUUGACUUAUGAAAUUCCCUUCUUCACCUUACUUGAUUUGAAAUCCUAAGAAGUAUGUUAAUUCUCCUGUAAGUGACAUCUCAAACUCUCCCUGCAUCAAACUAGCAAUUUCUCGACAAAGAGAUUCAUUAGUAAACCCAAAUGUAAUAUUAUCUACAUAAAUUUGCACUAAACGAAUAUGUUUUUACUUAUGUCAUAUAAAUAAAGUGGUGUCGACUUUUCCACGGUUGAAUCCUUGUUUGAUAAAAAAUCCACUCAAUCUCUCAUAUUAAGCUCUAGGAACUUGUUUGAGACCAUAAAUGGUCAUUUUUAGCUUAAAAACAUGAUUAGGAUUAUCGUGAUCCUCUAAAACCGGAGGUUGUGAGACAUACACCUCUUUAUUUAUAUGGCCAUUUAGAAAAACAAACUUAAUAUCCAUCUGGCAAAGCUUAAAGUCCAGUCAGCAAACGAAUGCCAAAAGGAGUCUAAUGGCUUCUAGGAGGGCUACAAGAGCAUAAGUCUCCUUGUAUUCUAUCCCUUUAUCUUGAUUAUAUCCUUUUGCCACUAACCUAGAUUAUUUCUCGUAAUUACUCCAUUUUCAUCCAUCUUAUUCCUAAAUACCCAUCUUGUACCUAUGACGGUUUUAUCAAUCGGACGCAGAACAAGGUCCUAAAUGUAAUUUCUUUAAAUUGGAUUAGUUCGUCUUUCAUAGUGAGUAACCAUCCCUUAUUAAGUAAGGAAUCAAAUAUGGAUUUAGGUUUAAUAUGAGAAAUUAACACAUAGUACUUACAUAAAUUUUUAACUUGUGACCUAGUACUUACUCACUUUUUAAUGUCUCCAAGGAUUUGAUAUAACGAACGAUCCUUUGUGAUUGUCUAAUCUCGAGGUAGCUGGUUUGAGGUCUCUUGUUUGUCAUCCUCAUGUAAGCUUUCCUCCUUAUCUUCUGUAAUGUCCUUACCAUUUAUUUUUGGAUCGGGAACCUCUUUUGAACUUUCUGAAGGAGAAUAGCCAUCCAAGGCGCAGCGGAAUAUAAAAAAAUUUCUCCUUUAAUGAUCCUUACGAAUGAGCAUGAUCAGUGAUAGAAUCGUUACCUCUUGUGGAGAUUCAAACCUUUGUGCAGAUCUCUGACAAUGAUAACCUUUGAUACAGAUCCACGGGGCGAUCACGAACGUUGAACGAUGACAACGUCUCUACUCAGUCCACACGAACGGAUUCCUUCAAUCGCAGUGCUAGCUGUUAUGAAUGAAGGCUUUGAGUGAGAGAAAUAGGGGAACAAAAUUCCAAGUCUCUACUUGAAUUUCUGUCUGAGUGAAUUGGAGUGACCAUGCUUCUACCCAAGGGGUUCUAUUUAUAGAACCACUUGUGUGGGCUUCAAGCCAAAAAGCCCACUUAAGUGCAUUUUGGACCAUAUCUCAUAAUAUGCCAAAAUCACUUAAGUAUUUGGUACCUUACCAUAUUUCGUCUCCCACUUAAGUGCACCGUACCUUACGGUGUUCCUUAAUAAUUCUAUCUCUCAUCAAUCCGUCCUUUGUGUGUGACCCUAUAGGUUUUGCGGCGUUGGCAAUUAUAUUAAAUCACGCAUUUAACAUAAUAAACAGUGAGCGGUAUCUAGCAACACAUCACUGCUACCCAAGUCACGAAAAUGUCAUGUGUCUGACAAAACCUCCUGUGAUAAUAAUUAUGUGUAUAAUUACCCCUUUGCCCUUAUGUCUAUAUUGAACACAAGGUAUAGACCGUGUCACCCUUGUCCAGUUCAUAUUGGGCCCAUAGACAUUUAUCCUGUUACGUAGGAUUGGCAAAUUCCAUCUAGGACACUCAUGUCCUCAGCAUGCUUCGUGGAGUACCCAUCAACUGUCUUUAUGGUUAUCCAGUUACGGACAACGUUGGAUCAGCAAUAAAGCACUCGACUCUACAUCUAGGAUCCAUAGUGGUUUCAGGUCGAAGAGUGGUAUACACUAUUAUCACCAUGAGAAUAACUUAUGACACUUUGCAUAACUUUCUAUAUAGUAUUCUCAUAGCGGGUCAAUCCGGUAUAAAUAUUACUCCUAAUAUUCAUACCUAUGUUUAAGACUUGAUAAUCUUUUAUCCAUGAUCCAUGAGAUGUGAUCAUCAAUCUACAAACAUAAUAGUCUUAAUGCUUUAAUGUUAUCCCACUUCACAUUAAGCUCGACUACGGAUACUUUAAGAAUAGUGUCCUUAUGUUUAUGUGUUCUCAUGAUUAAGUCACACUUAAUACAUUAAACAGACUAUCUAUUCCAGGGACUUUAUUAAUCAACCAUAAUAAAGAAAAUGCCUUUUAUUAUUAAUAAAUAAUUCGAUACAAGUACCAAAAGUAUUGGCCUCUAGGGCUUACACCAACACUUUCAUCGAUCAAUCUUUCUGUUAUAAUACCUGAAACAUCAUAACAAAUACCCUUCCUUGGCUUUUGGGGUGAGGAAUCAUCAAAAGUAACAUGAAUGGACUCAUAUACACAAGAAGUUCCAUGAUUGUAAACCCUAUAGGCUUUACUCGUAGAUGAGUACCCUAAGAAAAUACCUUCACCAGAUUUUGCAUCAAAUUUGCCAAGGUUAUCUUUUCCGUUAUUCAUAAUAAAGCAUUUGCAACCGAAAACUUAAAAAUAUGAAAUAUUAGGUUUUCUACCCUUAAGUAUCUCAUUCAGUGUCUUCUCUAGGAUAAAUCUUAUGAUUACCCUGUUUAAGACGUGGCAUCCGGUGUUAAUCGCAUCCGCACAAAAAUACUUGGGUAGGCUCAUCUCAUUUAUCAUAGUCCGGGAAAGCGCUUCCAACACACAGUUUUUGCUUUCUACAACACAGUUUUGUUAUGGAGUUCUAGAACAUGAGAAAUUAUGAGCAAUACCAUUUUCGAUGCUAAAGUUUUGAAAAUGAUGGUUCACGAAUUCCCCACCAUGAUCACUAUGGAGAGUGAUGAUUUUAAAACCAAAAACAUUUUGAACAACCUUAACAAAGUCAACAAAAGCUUUAAAAGUAUCAUCUUUAUAGGCUAAAAAAAGCGUCCAUGUAAAUUUAGAGUAGUUGUCAACAAUCAUAAAUUCGUAAUAGUUGCCACCUAGACUUCUUAUCCGCAAAGGGACAAACAAGUCUAAAUGGAGAAGCUUAAGAGGUUUUGAUGUCGAAAUAACCUUCUUCGGUUUAAACAAUAGUCUUGUUUGCUUUCCCAUUUGACAAGAAACACACAAUUAAUGUUUUAAGUUUUCAUUUUUGGAAGACCAACUACUAUAUUUUUGGAUGCUAUCUUAUUUAGCAAGUCAAAAUGCACAUGGACUAAGCGUCUAUUGUAACACCUUAAACCCCAGAUAUAUUAAGCUUUACACGACAAUAUAAGGUGUCACCAACGAAAAAUCCUAUAAUAAAUCUAACAUUUAACAAACACACAACGGAAACAUCAACGUCAUACAACCCUAUCAUCCCACACUCACCUUCACUUAGGGUUUCAUUGUGGCGGUGUUGAUCUUCUUUCAAUUAAAUAAAACAACAUAACUUAUACAUUUAGUCUCAACUUCAAAAUUAUAUAAUCUUCUAUCAAAAUAUUGAGUUAUCAUGUUCAACGCUCAACAACUUCAAUAUAAACCGAAUAAAGCAAUUAAGCUCCAAAAAAACAUAAUAAGAAAACAAGCAUUCCCAACCCCGAUGUUACAUGAUCAAACCAAGACUUCUAAACAAUGAUGAAACUAAACAAAGUAACUCCAGGAGCUAACUUCCCCUUGUAAUAGCAAACUCUACUUCUGAGUAUCUACAAGAUGUUCAUGGUGGACAACAUGAAAGCAAAGGGGAUGGGAAAUAACAAACCAAUAUAAACACUAGAAGGAAUUCUAAGGUAAAGAGUACACAACAAGCACACAUUCAUUACUUAAUCAGCAACCACAUAGCCUCACACUAUUCAUAAUAACAUGUACAUAUUCACCACCAAUUAACAACAUCAUAAAUAAUCAACUACAUAUGCAAUCAUGUAUGCAAAUGUACUCAACAACUAACUCAUUAUGUAUGUAGUAUCAUUCAUGAAAACCCAUGUUCAUCUUGCUCCCGAUCCCCAUCAUAGGACCAGAGCACACCAAAUCGUUACCAUCACCAUAGGUAACGUUUCACCAACUCCCAUAUGGAACUGACUACCUUCUCCCGGUCCCCACCAUAUGAUCAAAGCACACUAAAAUUGGACCAAAGCCCGUACACCUUGAUGCAUGACUCUCAACAAUAUGCAUUACCCCCAAAAGGAUCAUCAUGCACAUCUCACCAUUUAUGCACCAUAUCAUUCAUCAUACGCAAUAAUUAAUCAAUGUUGUGACAUUAAUAAACAACAACAAACAGAAGCAACUCAACAAUUGUAACUUCAUAGGCAUUCAUUCAUGUUACUUCACCAAAAUAACAACACAUCAUUAUAUAAACAUAACAAUUGGCUAAUCGAUCAUACAAGUCAGCACAAACCUUACCAUAGAAGACACAUGAUUAUAAAUCAAACAUUUCACCAAGAAUUACCAUGAGGUAGCUCUGUGAGUUAGCUUUCUAACACUUCGAACGACAUCUCAAUUGGACUUACGGAAUGAAAGUUACAGCCAAAAUCGUUGGACAAUGAAACAAAAGACAACAAUUUUUUUGGAAUUUUGGCCUAGGACAAUCGAUUGUCAAGGGAUGACAAUCGAUUAUCAGCAAACGUGUCUCGCUACUGACUUAAUAAAAAUUCACUUUUCCAGGCAGUUCAAUCGAUUGUACUGGUUAUUUUUUUCAAUAUUCGAAUGCAUACAAUCGAUUGAUUGGGAAUGUCAAUCGAUUGACUGGAAAUGUCAACCGAUUGACACUGCAGUUUUUUCCAAAAAAAACUAGUUUUUUUCCAUGAUUUUCACCCCUCUCAUCCCAAAACCUUCAUACAUCAUUCCAAUUAAUUCAUAAAAAUUUAACAGACCAAAACACGAUUUUUAAUAGUGAAUCAUGUUAGCAUAAUCAUUAACAUAUAUAUCACUUAAUUCACCAUAAUUUAUAGCAAUUUCAUCACCAAAUUCAACAAUAAAUUUCAUCAUUAUCAUGAAUAAAACUCAAGCUUUCACACCUUCAGCAAUGGAAGAACCUCAUACAUACAUAUUCAUGAUCAAUCAAACAUCAAUUCAAUCAUAACAACACAUAUAAACACGAGAUCAACCAACCAAUUUCUAGAAUUUCAUCAUAUAACAAUUGAUUAAAAGAAAACCUAGAAUCCUAAUGAGAAUAAGGACUUAUCAUCUCUACCCCAUCAUCUAAUACACCUAAAUUUAUAGCCCUUCCUCCCUUACCUUAGAUUUCUAGUAAAACAACAACAACUUCUAAGGAAUUCUUCUCUCAAAGCCUAGCUUUGUGCUUCUUCCUUUUUCUCCAACUUUUGUUUUCACGUACUAUAAACUUUCUCAAUUCCCACAUCCCUCUAUUUAUAAAAAUAAUUUAAACCCUUUCAUUUAGGCUUUUUCCCUCAUUACCCCCAAGUUAUUCUCCAAAUUCCCUCAUUGCCCCUUAUUUCUCUACUAACUCUUAUUUUCUCCAAUUUUUCUUAUUUUAUUAUUAAUAAAAAUAAUAAUAAUUAAAAUUUUGAUUAUUCUAAUUAUUAUCCAACUUAUUCUAUUUUCUCACCAAAACUCUACUAAUUUCACUACACCCCAUCAACAUAUAAGAUCAUAUUAUUUAUUUAAAUGCACACCAACAUCAAUUAAUUAAAUAAAAUAAAUCCAAAUAAUUCAAUUAAAUAAUUGAAUUGAAUUUUGGGUGUUACUUCUAUGCCAUAACCGAUAAUCCUCACUUUUAGCUACUAGACACUUAGUCCCAUGCAUUGAGACAUCAUCUAGAUCAAGCAUAUAAACAUUUUUAAUCCUAGAACCCUCAAAUACAAAGUCCUUGCUAGUUUCAUGUUCAAUUAUACAACUAAGAGUAUCAAACGAAACCUAAUGCCCUUUGUCACAUAGUUGACUAAUACUUAGAAAGUUGUGUUUAAGCCCUUUCACUAACAGCACAUUAUCAAUGGUAAUUAUGGAGGGAUUUUCCACAACACCUUCACCAAGAAUUUUACCUUUAGUAUUGUCUCUAUAGGUGACAUGACCACUUUCCUUCUCAUCGAACUUGAUGAACAUGGAAACAUCUCUCGUCAUGUGUCUUGAGCAUCCGCUAUCUAGAAACCACAAUCUUUUUGCGGAGGUAAGGCGUUCCUAUGAUAAAUCAAGAAGGUAAUUUAGGUCCCUAACUAGUGGAUCCUUCAGGGUUAGUUGAGUUACAUUUAGGUAUCCAUGUCAUUUUACCAUUGGGAACUUGAAUGUUCCUAACAAGACAAAGAGGCCUAAUGUGACCCUUAUCUCCACAAUAAUGACAAAUAGCUUUAGAUGAAACACUCAUUCUAUUUCUCCUAGUGACAUGAGGGUUUUUCUUAAAAACCUUCCCUCUUUCACUUGAAGAACUAGAACGUGUAUUAGAUAGUUUGACAGCAUGUGUCAAAUGUCCUUUAAGAGUUUCAAUUUCAAUUUUUAAAAUAGGACAAUUAACACAUUCCAUAACUUCUAUCUUUUCAUCUAAAGUAUCUGAAACAAUACUACACUCUUCCACAAGAGAUGUAUGAACUUCAUUUAAACAAUCUAAAGCACGAUUGAGAUUCUUUAUCUCCUGUCAAGUGUAUAAAUAAUUUCUUUUUGGAGAGAAAUUUUCUUAAACGCUUAAAUGGAAUCAACAUACAUGGAAUUAAAUGCACUAGACAAUUCACCAUAAGUAGGGGUGUGCAUGGAUACCAUUUAAUAUGAACCAAUCCAUUUUUAUGGUUAUGGUUUAUAAACCAAACCACUUCUCACAAAAACCAAUUUAAAAUUCCGAACCGGUUUAAAACCGAUUUUAAAUGGUUAUGAUUUUAAUCAAAAUUAUUUAAUUUAAUUUAAGUAUUAUUUUCUUUAAAUUAAUAUUAAUUUUUAAAUUUUAAAACAUAAACAAAUUUUAUGAGGUUUUAAAAUAUUUUUUCUUUUAAAAUUUAAAAAACAUACAAAAAAUAAUUUUUUGUAGAAAAAAAAAUAACAAAUAUUCAGAAAAAAGAAAAAAAAUAUAUAAAAAAAUAUUGAAAAUAAUAAAAUUAUAUUCUGAAAAUGAAAAAAACAUUGAAAAUAAAAAAGAUCUUAAUAAAUAAAUUAUUCCAAAAUAUAAAAAUAACUGAAAAAAAUUUAUUUUCUAAAAAAUGAAAAUGAAAAAUAAAAAAAUCCUGAAAAUAAAAAAUAAUUUCUAUUCUAAAAUUAUAAAAAAAAAUUUCUUCUGAAAAUAAAAGUUUUUUUUAUUCUGAAAAUUUGAAAAAAUAACCUAUUAAAAAAUUAUCAAUAAAAAGUUAUUUAUAAAAAAUCUAAAUUUUUUUAUUGGAAAAAAUACAAAAUAUUUUUUUUAUUUAGAAGAAAAUAAUAAUUUUAUUUGAAAAAAUAUCAAAUAUAAUUUUUUUCGAAAAAAAAUUCCAAAUAUAAUAUUUUUCGUGAAAAGAAAAAAAAAUUCUGAAUUUUAUUUUUAAAAUAAUUUUAUUUAUAAAAUUUUAAAAUAUAAAAUUAAUUUAUAAUAUGAUAAAACAUGAAAACAGACAAAUAUAAAAAUUUAAUGCAUAGUAAAUUUUGGAUAUCCAAUAACAAAACCAAAUUAUUAUAAUGGGUAACGGUUUAUAUUUGGAUAACAAAAUGGAUACCCAAAAUUUUAUUUUAGCAUUUGGUUUGGUUUUUUAAAAGUGGAAAAAUUUGGAUACCAAUUUGGUUAUGGAUAACCAGUUUUUUUACACACCCCUAACCAUAAGUAUACUCAUUUUCAGAUUCAGAAUUAUAUACCUUUGAAGUUCCACUUUUCGUCGUGACAUCAAGCAAAAGUUGGUACAAUCAUCAUUUAAACUCGAGCGAGAAUCGGAGGAGGAACUCUCAACCUCUUUUUCCCAUGCGAUGUAGGCUCUACAAUCUUUGAGAGAUUUUCUCUUCGUCUUAUAGAAAGCCUUGUCUUUGCUUUUAUGAUGUUUGGUAAGAUUUGGACAUGUAGUUCUAUAGUGUCCCAAUUUACCAUAUUCAUAGAAUGAGAUCCCAUCAUCUUCUUUCUUGUGAUCCUUCUUUGGUGGAUGAGUAUUUCUUAAAUUAACUAGACCUUUGUUAGUAUGCUUGAGCUUGUUUCUCUUAAGAUAUAUAUUGUAACGUUUGACGAAUAAACCCAUUUCUUCCUUUUUGGAAACUUCUCUGUCAGAAUCGUCACUUUCUUACUUUGACUUCUUCACUUUUGAGGUGAAGCUUUCAAAGAAAGAUCUCGCUUAUCUUCUUUCCCUUUCUCUUUCUUCUUCGAAUUUACUUAUUUAUCGGUGAGUCGUUUUAACUCAUUCUCAUGAUCGAAUAACUUCCCAAACAGAUUUGUAAUAUCCAAAGUACUAAGAUCAUUUGUUUCUUUUAUUGAGGUGACUUUAUGUUGCCACUCCCUGCACAUGGAUCUCAAUAUUCUGUUAGUACAAUCUUUGUUCGAAAAGGUUUUACCUAAGUCUCGCAGUUUGUUGAUCAAAUGGAGGAAUCUAGUUUGAAUGGAAUCCAUGAAUUCUUCGGGUUCCAUACAAAAUAGUUCAAACUCCUUUGUAAAUAUAUUGAUUUUAGAAUCCUUGACAUCCUCCAUUCCCCCCAUAGAGAGUUUGGAGAGAUUCCUACAUACCUUUAGCACUCGUAUAAUGUGAACUCUAAUAAAACAGUUUAGCACUUAGUGAUGAAAUGAUUAUGUUCUCUCUUUCAAAUCAUACAAAGCCUUUUUGGUUUCAUCUGUAAGACCCCAAUUUUGACCCUAAGAUCCCUCAUGCCAUCUCAUCAUAUGCAUUGGCAUUGGGAUCCCACCUUGGUAUCCUCCUUACCCCUCAUUCAUUGGGUUUGCAUUAGGAGAAAUCACCAAGCACCAUCUGAUUGUAUCAUACUUUGUAUUUUUAUCGUUCUACUAACCAAAAUACCAAAAAUAUGUCUUUGCAUUUAUCUAACUCUUUUGUAGGUAGGGCACAUGCUCACCUCUGAUCUAUCAAGCCCAUAUCUAGGGUUUAAGACCCUCAUUGCUAAGAGCUCAAUCAAUAAACGAUCCACAAUGGCUUUAGACAUCAUAUAUGGAUCCCCCUGAGCUUCACAUGUUACUUUGGUCAAGAAUUCAUCAAGAGUUUGGAAUUGGUUUGCCCUGGAAGCCCUAAUUCAUCUAGGUAUCUUGUGUAAAUUCUUCAACAAGCUUCUUCAACAAUUGAUCAAAUAUUUCAAGGGAUACUUCAAAUUUCAUCAUCUUAUGCAUAUAUGAUCCUCCAUGAGUCCCAAAAGUCAAGAGAAUUGCAAGUUAGCAAGUUGGUUGAUGGUGGUUGACCAGAGGAAUUCAUCUGACCAAAACUGGGUUCCCUAGACCCCAUCUCCUACAAUUUUUAUCAUAUGAAAAUGACUCCAAGCGCAAAGUUACUCCAAAUGACAUUUCAAACAACUUUCAUGUUGAUGUCUAGGGCUAGUUUUGCUUGGAAAGUCAUUUUUUAUGAUGAAAGAUUAUAGGUCAUUUUGUCUAAACCCUAAUUUGGAGGUCAACUUCCCAAGGCCAUAACUUGCUCAAUUUUUAUGAGAUGAAAUAUUUCCAAGUUGCAAAAUCAAAUUCAAGAUGUAUAAUUCAUCUUUGGUGUUUGGUGGAAGAUCUAAUUCAACUUUUAUGAGCAUGUGAUAUGAGGAUACAUUAUAGGUCAUUUUGGACCAAUACCAUUGAACAAGUGAUUUUCCUCAACUUCAAAAAUGUAUAACUCCUUCAUAUCAAAUCCAAAUGAGGGACUUUGUGACCAUUUUGAUAGAAUUUGAGAGAUAUACAACUUUGAUGAAAAAACUUUUCUCAUUUGAAACUCACACAAAAAGUUAGCCAAGGUGGAAUAAGUGAACAUAUGGCUUGACACUUAGAAUUUUUUUUGAUAUGUUAAAAUUUUCAAACUUCCACCUCAAAAUUCAUCAUGAUACAAGCUUCAAAUGGAAAAGUGUUGAACAUGAAAGUUGUUCCUCUUGAUCUAACAUUUCCAAAAAGUCCAAUUUCAUCCAUUUUGGACAAGAUUUGAAUAGGCUGCGCAUGGCUUGAACAUUGCAUCAUCAUUUGGCAAAAACCAAACUUCAAGCUUCCAUGUACAAUUGCCUAGCACUCCAAUUUGAUUUCAGACUUGUUCACACUCAAUUAUGGACCAAAUGGAAUAAUCUCAUGGGCCUGUACACGCCAAUGCACACAUGCAUCACUCAUUGCCAAAUUUGGAAACUCAAUUGUAAGGUGCAAAUAUCAUGUGAUUCAGCUAUAAAUAAAGGCCCUUAUGCUCUGAAUUGAGGACUCCUUUGCGCCAACUUUGAUCCCAAACACCAAACCCUUCCAUUUGAGAGGAUAAUCCUGAGAAUUUCCUUUAGAAAUUGAGUUUGAAUAUCACUGUUUUAAGAUUCAAAACUCUAGGGAUCCAAGACCUUUUGUGCAUUCUAGUCCACUUCUGCAAGCAUCCUGAGCAAGAUCAAGCACGAGCCAAAGCAAGAACAAGUGAAUCCAGACCUACAUUGAAGGUAUUUUCCAGAAAAUUUCAUCUCUUCGAUUCUCACUUAAUUCUCUUGGAUCCUUGGUUGUCUGAAUCCUACCAAUGUAGGCAACAAGAUUGAGUUGCUUUGAGGUCAAAUUGAAGCAACUCAGAUCAUGCACCUCAAACUUCAACUCCUUGUUCAAUAUACUUGGAGUUAGGAUGAAUUGAUGGCUAGAUUCGUGCUCCAGUGCCAUUUUACUUUAAAAUAGUCCUUCUUUUUAUUUUAGUGAUGGUUAUGAUUGGACGUCCGGCGAGGCUCGCCUGAGAAGGAGACCGGAGAUUUGCUCCGGUGGUGAGUUGGCGAGGUCCGAGCCACAUGAUCUGUUUGAUUUAAUCUAAUCACGAGCAUUGGUUUGUUGACCUUGUCUGUGGCGCGCUGACUAUAGUCAUCAUGGAUUGCGCGUUUGUGCGCGCACUUGAUCUGUCACCUCAAUUAAUGAGGGAGAUCAAGUGGUCCACGUUUUUUCUGAUUAUUUGAUUUUCAUUUUAUUUGUGUUAUUUUCAUUAAUUCAUAUUAAUUUUAAUAUUGAUCCAAAAAAUAUGGGAAUUUCACCAAAUUUUUUUAAAUAAAUUCCUCUUUCGUUUUCUGAAUUAAAAUUAUUUUUUGGAUCAUCAUUAAUAUUUUUCAUGAUUUAAUUGAUUUUGUGAAUAUUUUUAAUUGUUUAAAAAUAGUUUUAAGUUUCUAAAAAUUAUGAAUUUUUUUCUCCAAGGUCCUUUGACCUUGUUUGACAUAUGAUAAAUCUCAUGGCCAUUUAUUUGGUGUUUUGAUGAGGUUUUAGGAAAAAAUGACCAACCAUAAUUUAAUUUAAUGCAUAUUUUAAUUGUUUUUAAUUGAUUAAAUGCCAAAUAAAUUGUGUUGAGCUAUUUUAAUUGAUUUGCCGAGUUUGACUUUUGUUGUUGGGCCUUGGUCAAGGUUGAUUUGACUUUGUUGAGUUAAGAUCAUUGGAUUUAGGAGAUUGAUGAAAUGUACAUUUCAUCUCUCAAAAUGAAUGAAUGAUCUUAAUUUGGUAAAAGUCCUCCCUUGACCAAUUUGUGUUGAUUCCAUUUCCCCUCCCUCUUCAUCUCACUCGUCUUCUUUAUCUAUUCAUGUCAUGGACCUAUGAUAUCUCUAUAUCCUAAGGCUAGUUGAUUGCAAAAUCAACAUGAGUAUGGAUGAGAUUAGGUCCACCAUUUUGCAUAUUCUUUUUGUGUGUGGUAUAUUUUAUGAGCAUAGUCCAUUAUACUAUGUCUCUAACACACAUUAACACCAAAAUUCUAUUGCCCGACCUCAAAUAGUUGUGACUUCUACAUAAGUCCAAUUACGAUUGCUUAACAUAAUGCUAAAUUUGUGACACAAAAGGCAUAGUAUUCUAGUAAGUGAGAUUGUAAGUCUCCCCUCUUUCAUGGUAUUGUGUGGAAACUUGGCCUUUUUUUCUUCCUUUGGAAGAUGUCUUGGUUUAAGGAUCCAUGCUUGUGACAAGUGGGUUGAGUGUUCUCCAAAGAAUGUCUUCAACAAUACAAAAAGCAAAAGCAAUACUAACUUCUAAUCAACUAACAACUAACAUUUAAUUUCAAGCCAUUUACUUUUAUGUACUCUAAUUUCAAGCCUUUAUUCAUUUGCCAUUAUUCAUAUCAUUCAAUUUGUUUACUUUAAUGUCAUUUUCACUUUGCUCAUUUGAGCCAUACAUUGUGGAUAUAUUAUGCUUGUAUAUGCUUGUUUAUUUUUGUGGUCUCUUGACCUUAAUGUACAUAAUAAGAACAAAAACCCUAAAAAAAACAUUUUGUGUGGACUGUUGGGUUUGAUCUUAGACAUUGGACUUAGAAUUAGGCAACACUCCCUAUGCAAAGGACUUGGCCAAUGCCAACUUUCAUGAAACCAAGGCUUGUGAAGUGAAUUUUCAUCUGAUACAAAUAUUGAAGAUCCAUUUGAGUUCAUCUGCAACAUAAUCAUAUUGAAGCUGUUAUUUUGAACCUGUUUCUAAUGCCUACUUUUGGAAGUCAUCUGAUGCAUGGGAAAUUUUAAAUAAGAUCAUGGAGUUGCUAAGCUUGGAUGUGGCUAUCUUUAUUUGAUGCCUUACUCUUCAUCUGGAUAUUUGUGUAUUGAUAUUGCUUGAUUCUAAAGUCCAAAGGGAAAUUUGGGUUUCUAUAUGACAUUCUUGUCUAUUGGAUUGCAGCCCAUUGGUCAGAUCUUUUCAACUCUUAACUUUUAAAUUUGUGCUUAGGAUUAGUCUCUUCAUCUCCUCCCCAUUUCUUUAAUUUCAAAAUAUCUCCCUCCUUUUUAAAAUUUUCUUUGUUUGUGUUUUCCAAACUUUGACCAUAUUGCGAAUUAGAAACUUUGGCCUUAUGCCAUUGAAUUUUCAAACUCUUUUCUUAAUCAAACUUGUAAAUAAACUUAACUAUACUUGACUUAAAAAUUUCAAAAGCCAAAAAUAACUAACACUCAUCCAAAUCUUUCUAGGCCUCUUGUGCCUUUGUUAAACUUAAACUUUUGUUAAAAGCAAUCCACUCACUUUGAAAUUGAUACCAUGAACUACGAGGUUUUGAUCCCUCAUUUUUAUGUUGGUACGUAGGCACAAGUCCGAAGAUCUUGUCAAACACAAAAAUAUAAUUAAUGAAUUCUUUUCUCAUCCUCACACUCUAUUUAUUGCAAACAUCAUUUUAUACCAAAACACAUGUACACACAAAAAAAGGGCUCCCUAGGAGUACCUAGGACACUUUGGAUGCUAACACCUUCCCUCUGUGUAACCAACCCCCUUACUUGUAAUCUCUGACAUUUUAUUAGUUUUGAUUUGAAAAAUUCUUAUUUUUGGGUUUUGUUCGUACUUUUCCCUUUUCCCUUAGAAACAAUAAAAGCGUGGUGGCGACUCUGGUUUAAUUGACGUCUAGCUUAUCCAUAGCUUGAUGGUCAUGAAUUUACCGCUACAGAAAUUAAGUGGCGAAUCUGCUCGGGAGUAGUCUCUAGUGGGUUUAGCCUACUUUUUUGUGUGUAUAUAAUUGUAUACUUGAUGUAUGUAUAUUUGUUUGUAUGAUAUUAUCUGUUUGUUAUGCUUGGUGAUCUCUGAGUGGUGAGAUAAGUUCUAACCCAAACUUGAGUGCAAUUAAAAUAGGAGGAUGGUAUAGUCAUGUUCGACUUGUGUGGGGUAGUCCUUAACAAGUUGGCUUGAGAUCCACCUACUCAGUGAGGAACCUUUUGGAGUUAUGAAUGUCACACAAGUUAUUUGUGGUUAGGCAUUACUCUCUCUGAUUUGGGGUCUGAGAAGCUGAGGACCGUAGAACAUUUAACCCCUCUUGGCCUAUUUAGGACGUAGUGCGGAGACUGUUCAGGUGUAGACUUGAUAACAGUUGUUACGUGAUACUACACUCAGACGAGUUUCUCUUGAGAAUAUUAUGGGUUGAUGAGUCAGUCAUCCUAACUUGUAAUAUCCGAUAGAUGGAAUUAAGACUCUGGGAACUUUUUAGAACAUGAUCUACAGGCUUUUAUCCUUAGUUCACUCCUUUGGGAUGGUUCUUACCCAGACUCCAUGCUCGUGACUCACAACAAACCCUUGAUUCUUGGUUGAUCCAAUCAAGUCUUGUCAAUAUCAAUGGAACUUGAGUGUUGAUAAGGUGAAAACCAUAAUCCACCAAAAUGGAUGAUUAAUCUUGGCAAUGACUUGAUUCAUCCAUUGGACUUUAUUUGCCUUUGUGUGUGAUUACUUAUUUGUGAUUGUUGUAUUCAUACAUUCAUGCGCAUCAUAACAUUCAUCACACCAAAAAUUUCAAGGAACUGAGGUCUUAUUUGCAAAUAUUUUCAGACCAUGGAUUAUGGACGAAGGAACACUAAGAAGUACAGUUUCAGAUGUCCGGAUUUGAAAGAGUUAAGGAAGCUAACAUCUUUUGUAUUAGAUCCCUUGGACUUCAAGCAAUGUCAUGGGAAACUUUUGUCUAUUUUGUCUGCUGAUGUGGUUGAAGGACUGUUGAGCGUAUUGGUUUAGUUCUAUGAUCCUCUUUACCAUUGCUUCACUUUUCCUGAUUAUCAUCUUGUGCCUACGUUGGAGGAGUAUGCCCAUCUCUUGGGAAUACCUGUUUUUAGAAAAGUGACUUUUAGUGGAUUGGAGGAGAUUCCCAGAUCUCACAUUAUAGCUAAAGCUCUUCACUUGAAGAAGUCUGAGAUAGAGGCUCAUUGGGUGAAGAAAAGAGGAUUGUUUGGAUUGACUUCUGAGUUCCUCAUCAAGGAAGCUACUACCUUUGCUCAAGCCGAUAGUGUGGAUGCUUUGAAGCUAUCUUUGUGUUGCUCAUCUAUGGACUAGCUUUGUUCCCUAACAUUGACGGUUUUGUUGAUGUUAACGCCAUUAGAGUUUUCUUGAUUGGGAAUCCCGUGCCUACUUUGUUGGGUGAUAUGUACUUCUCUUUGCAUCUAAGGAAUUCUAAAGGUGGUGGGACGAUUGUGUGUUGUGUUCCUCUUCUGUACAAGUGGUUUAUUUCGCACUUGCCUUAGACACCUACUUUUGUGGAGAAUAAACAAUGUCUACGAUGGUCUUAGAGACUUAUGUCUCUCACUAAUGAUGAUAUAGUUUGGUAUGAUUCUUCAUUAAGUAGUUUGGAGAUUAUUGAUAGUUGUGGUGAAUUCUCUAAUGUGCCUCUCAUUGGUACACAAGGAGGAAUCAACUACAAUCCUGCUUUGGCUCGUCGUCAACUUGGGUUCCCCUUGAGAGACAAACCUAAUAACACUCAGUUAGAAGGUCUUUUCUAUCAAGAGGGUAAAGAUCCCCAACAUUUGAAGCAGAAGAUUGUGCAUGCUUGGCAUAAUGUGCAUAGGAAAGGAAGAUCCGAGCUUGGUUCGUGCAAUUGUGUAGCUUUGUUCCCCAACAUUUGAAGCAGAAGAUUGUGCAUGCUUGGCAUAAUGUGCAUAGGAAAGGAAGAUCCGAGCUUGGUUCGUGCAAUUGUGUAGCUUUGGAAGCUUACACUCUUUGGGUGAAGAAGAGAGCUUUGGAAUUGAAGAUGCCUCAUGCUUGUGAGAGACCUAUGUCUAUGGUUGUAACUGAGCCAUUAACUCUCCCUAACCAAGAUGUAGAGGAGUUGGAAGACGCACUCGCCAAUAUGAAGCAAGAGAAGGAUAUGUGGGAAGAGCGUUUCCAUGCUUUGAGCCGAAAGCAUGACGAGUUGCAGCUUGGGUCUA